rnacentral:tRNA from 1 species
UAGGCUACGUAGCCAAGCGGUAAGGCACCGGUUUUUGAUACCGGCAUUCCCUGGUUCGAAUCCAGGUACCCCAGCCA